rnacentral:rRNA from 2 species
AGGUUAAGUUAACAAGGGCGCAUGGUGAAUGCCUUGGCACUAGGAGCCGAUGAAGGACGGGACUAACACCGAUAUGCUUCGGGGAGCUGUACGUAAGCUAUGAUCCGGAGAUUUCCGAAUGGGGCAACCCAGCAGUUUUAAUCAACUGUUACCACUAGAUGAAUUCAUAGUCUAGUUGGAGGUAAACGCUGUGAACUGAAACAUCUCAUUAGCAGCAGGAAUAUAAAGAAAUUUCGAUUCCCUAAGUAGCGGCGAGCGAACGGGGAACAGCCCAAACCAAAGUGCUUGCACUUUGGGGUUGUAGGACUGAACAUUUGAGUUACCAAAGAACUUGAUAGUCGAAGGAUUUGGGAAAAUCCGCCAUAGAUGGUGAUAGCCCAGUAGAUUAAAUCAAAUUCUCUCAGUUCAGGAUCCUGAGUACGGCGGAACACGUGAAAUUCCGUCGGAAUCCGGGAGGACCAUCUCCCAAGGCUAAAUACUACCUAGUGACCGAUAGUGAACCAGUACCGUGAGGGAAAGGUGAAAAGCACCCCGGGAGGGAGUGAAAUAGUUCCUGAAACCAUGUGCCUACAAUAAGUCAGAGCGCGUUAAUGCGUGAUGGCGUGCCUUUUGUAGAAUGAACCGGCGAGUUAUGAUCCCGUGCAAGGUUAAGACUAAAAAGUCGGAGCCGUAGCGAAAGCGAGUCUGAAAUGGGCGUUUUGAGUACGAGGUUAUAGACCCGAAACCAGGUGACCUAUCCAUGUCCAGGUUGAAGGUGCGGUAAAACGCACUGGAGGACCGAACCCGUGUAAGUUGAAAAUUGCUGGGAUGAGGUGUGGAUAGCGGUGAAAUUCCAAACGAACUUGGAGAUAGCUGGUUCUCUCCGAAAUAGCUUUAGGGCUAGCCUCGGAAUUAGGAUCAUGGAGGUAGAGCACUAUUUGGACUAGGGGCCCGUCUUGGGUUACUGAAUUCAGAUAAACUCCGAAUGCCAUUGAUUCAUAUCCGGGAGUCAGACGAUGAGUGAUAAGAUCCACCGUCGAAAGGGGAACAGCCCAGACCAUCAGUUAAGGUCCCUAAAUGUAUGCUAAGUGGAAAAGGAUGUGGAGUUGCAUAGACAACUAGGAUGUUGGCUCAGAAGCAGCCACCAUUUAAAGAGUGCGUAAUAGCUCACUAGUCGAGUGAUCCUGCGCCGAAAAUGUACCGGGGCUAAGCAUACUACCGAAACCAUGGAUGCGACCAUUAGGUCGCGUGAUAGGAGAGCGUUCUAAGGGCGGUGAAGCAAGAUCGUGAGGACUUGUGGAGCGCUUAGAAGUGAGAAUGCCGGUAUGAGUAGCGAAAGAUAGGUGAGAAUCCUAUCCACCGAAUGACUAAGGUUUCCUGGGGAAGGCUCGUCCUCCCAGGGUUAGUCGGGACCUAAGUCGAGGCCGAGAGGCGUAGACGAUGGAUAACAGGUUGAGAUUCCUGUACUAGUUAAGUGCGUUUGAGCAAUGGAGGGACGCAGGAGGCUAAGAUGUGCAUUCUGUUGGAUUAGAAUGUCCAAGCAGUAAGUCUUGUGAAGAGUCAAAUGCUUUUCACUUUAAGGACAAGCUGUGAUGGGGAGCGAAAUUUAGUAGCGAAGCGUCUGAUGUCACACUGCCGAGAAAAGCUUCUAGUGAGUACUUAACUACCCGUACCGCAAACCGACACAGGUAGUCGAGGAGAGAAUCCUAAGGUGAGCGAGUGAACUCUCGUUAAGGAACUCGGCAAAAUGACCCGUAACUUCGGGAGAAGGGGUGCUGAUCGCAAGAUCAGCCGCAGUGAAUAGGCCCAGGCGACUGUUUAUCAAAAACACAGGUCUCUGCAAAAUCGUAAGAUGACGUAUAGGGGCUGACGCCUGCCCGGUGCUGGAAGGUUAAAAGGAUGGGUUAGCUUCGGCGAAGCUCAGAAUUGAAGCCCCAGUAAACGGCGGCCGUAACUAUAACGGUCCUAAGGUAGCGAAAUUCCUUGUCGGGUAAGUUCCGACCCGCACGAAAGGCGUAACGAUCUGGGCACUGUCUCAACGAGAGACUCGGUGAAAUUAUAUUGUCCGUGAAGAUGCGGACUACCCGCGACAGGACGGAAAGACCCCAUGGAGCUUUACUGUAGCUUGAUAUUGAGUGUUUGUACAGCUUGUACAGGAUAGGUAGGAGCCAUAGAAACCGGAACGCUAGUUUCGGUGGAGGCGUUGGUGGGAUACUACCCUCGCUGUAUGACCACUCUAACCCGCACCACUAAUCGUGGUGGGAGACAGUGUCAGGUGGGCAGUUUGACUGGGGCGGUCGCCUCCUAAAAAGUAACGGAGGCGCCCAAAGGUUCCCUCAGAAUGGUUGGAAAUCAUUCGCAGAGUGUAAAGGCACAAGGGAGCUUGACUGCGAGACAGACAGGUCGAGCAGGGACGAAAGUCGGGCUUAGUGAUCCGGUGGUACCGUAUGGAAGGGCCAUCGCUCAACGGAUAAAAGCUACCCUGGGGAUAACAGGCUUAUCUCCCCAAGAGUCCACAUCGACGGGGAGGUUUGGCACCUCGAUGUCGGCUCAUCGCAUCCUGGGGCUGUAGUCGGUCCCAAGGGUUGGGCUGUUCGCCCAUUAAAGCGGUACGCGAGCUGGGUUCAGAACGUCGUGAGACAGUUCGGUCCCUAUCCGUCGCGGGCGUAGGAAAUUUGAGAGGACCUGUCCUUAGUACGAGAGGACCGGGAUGGACAUACCUCUGGUGUACCAGUUGUGCCGCCAGGCGCAUCGCUGGGUAGCUACGUAUGGAUGUGAUAAACGCUGAAAGCAUCUAAGUGUGAAACACACCUCGAGAUGAGAUUUCCCAUUCCUUUAUGGAAGUAAGACCCCUGAAAGAUGAUCAGGUAGAUAGGUUAGAAGUGGCAGUGCGGUGACGCAUGAAGCGGACUAAUACUAAUCGGUCGAGGACUUAACCAAG